rnacentral:rRNA from 1 species
UGAUGUCAAGUCUGUACGUCCUAUAUGAGCUGGGCUGCACACGUUCUACAAUGGCAAAUACAAUGAGAAGCAAUGACGUAAGUCGGAGCAAAUCUUUAAAAUUUGUCUUAGUUCGGAUUGAUUUCUGCAACGGAAUCAUGAAGCUGGAAUCGCUAGUAAUCGUAGAUUAGAAUGCUACGGUGAAUCUGUCUCUGACCUUU